GCCAUGUUUGAUUUGAUCCACUGAGUCACUCAAAGUGAUCCGGCCCAUCCGGUCGAUCCCCGGGGCGUGGCUUCAACUCAGUCAGCGGCCACGACUUCAAGUCCUGCCCGGUGACUUCCAAAUGUCAUCCAGGAGGUCCCUCCCAAGAUGCUUUGAAAUUCCAGAGCCUGACACCUCGCCUCUUACCUGAAUUCUUUGAUGACAUGAUUGAGGGGGAGAUGUGUCGAGAGUGUAGUCCGAAGGUGUUGAAGCGGAUCCACCCUCCCCAAAGCCUUCUCAGCCCAUCGGAUCACCUGUGCCUGCAAGCGAAUUACCCUGAACACCCCCCCAGUCCCCGCCCCCAACUUCUCAUCCUGUCCAUCAAACCACAAGAACACGGAGCUUGGAUUUACUUGUCUUGCAAAUCUCAUUUUUCGGGGUCCUGGGCCAGCUUCUUCUGUUUUGCUUCCUUCUUUCCAUUUUGUUUUGAUAGGAUAAUUGAAGAGAAGUCCCAGGUGAAGUCGACCCCCUUUCUUUUUUAAAAUAGGUGCUGAGUGGAAGGUUCGAGGCGUGCUUCUGCUCUGUUGACUUAAGCACUGCGACCCAACCAUCAAUCAUCCCGCCGUGACGGCUCGGGUCACCCCCACGCCACCCUUCCACCCGCUGACGCCUCCCCAAUGUCGUUUAUCUACCAGAAAGUAGACGUAAAUUUGAUUGCUCAAAGUAUCUUUUUAAUUCACUUUGCUUUGACCUCAUUUCUUUUGGGAAGGAAAGGGUUAGAGUUAGGGUUUAAAUUUUAAUGUCCUGAAUUUAUCGCGAGGAGAAUGUAAGUUUAGUCAUGUCAAUCAAUUUAAAGUUCCUAUUGUAAAGAAAGAUCGGAAUUAAGCACUUGUAAAAGCUAGCACGGUUACGCUAAAAGUUUUUUUGCUAAACUUUUUAGCAUAAGAAAAUCUCUGAGUAUCUUGUACUAGUCGCUUGUAAUUCACUUGUUUCUGCUUCUGGUUUCUUUUGGGGGAAAAAAGCCUGGGAAACGGUUUUAAAUCCUUCCGUUGGACUCCCCCCACGCCAGCCCCCCAUCCUCCAAAACCGCCGCAGCAUUUGGAAAGCGGUCCUUUGCAAUUAUCUUUAAUCAUAUGCGGCCAUCCCAAUCAAGGCCGGCUCUUGUGAUCACAUUUGCACGGUUUCAGGUUCUGCCCCCUUACUGGCAUAUCCAGAAAUGGGGGGGUGGCUUGAGGGGGGCACUUGGUACGGACCUCCUGGACCCAUUGCGACUCUUUCUGUCCCUUUCCUCCAAACACGGCAUAAAACUUUCUCCAAGAUGAGGCAUGUUGUGAGGAGAAAGUGUGCGUUUCCGGGUGACUUGCAAAGCGUUUAAGCAGAAUUCCCCGUCCAGCUGAAGCGGCCCACCCAGCCUGUGUGUGAGUGCGCUUCCAUUUGUCUUCUCUCAGCACACUGGAGCGUCACUUCUGCUUCUGUCGUGCAGUGUGUCAACGCCGCCGGUCUCCCACAUAGCUGAAAGCGGAGCUCGCGGACUCGCCUUCCUCAAUGGAAAACGCAGCUGUUGGCCACAAUGUCAUAACAAUCCAAGGUAGAAGCCGCAAAAGCUGCUACCGCUGCCUUGGGUCAUUAAGGACUUCACUUCCCACAAUCCACCGCAAAUCACGAACAAUUGCCGUUGGUCUGGCGAGGUGCCGACAGUCCUCGUUUGCAAUGCUUUAUGGGGAUUGGAGUUUGGUCCUUCGCUUGAGCAAUAAUUUCCAGUUUUACAAACGUUGUUUAUGAUUGUAGGCUGAGGAUCUUUAUAAAAAUCAGAAGUGUGAAUUGCUACUGGAGAGGGUCUAACUACAGGGCACUGGGAACAAUUUGUAUCGGUUUUUUUGUGUUUCUUUAACUAAUUUGAAGAAGUUCUGACCAAAAUUGAUACAGUUUUGUCAAAACUUGCUCAAUUGCACCAAAACGGCUAAGCCGAUUUUUACAAAGCUACGAUAAUGCUAAAAUACAAAAAGGGCUAGCGACAUUACACACAAGAUAGCAAAACAUGUUAGCCAAUUAGCUUUGGAUGUGUACAGCAGGUGAAAAAGGAAGAUUUUUUUCAUUUUUCAUACCCAAUUACAUACAGUUCAAGAUAUUUUUCGGGUUUUGGUGCCUUCCGUGAGCGCGUACAGAUUGUCGGACGUCGACGGAAUGAUGUCUUCAUUCCUGCCCAGCUGCGCUAUCACAGGAGUUAACCUUGCGUCUGUUCUGCCGACUUGUCUUCCGCCCGGCUUGAAAGGCGGCUUUAUAAGCGCUUUCCAUGACCUCAAGCCAGUACCUUCACUCCCUUAUGUGUCUUACAUACAUUUGUGUGUGUGUGUGUGUGUGUGUGUGUGUGUGUGUGUGUGUGUGUGUGUGUGUGUGUGUGUGUGUGUGUGUGUGUGUGUGUGUGUGUGUGUGUGUGUGUGUGUGU